rnacentral:misc_RNA from 1 species
UGUUUCUGGAAAAAUGGUAAACUUGGUCGCGUUUAGGGAUAUUAACAAUGCGUUCUGAGGAAAACACACCGUCCUUUGGGGGUCUACGAAUGGUGGUAAACCGGCUUUUACACAUGGGGCAACGAGACUCGACCUUAGCCCACUCCAUGAUGCAAACGAAGCAGAAAAAGUGUUCGCAGCUGUCGAUUUGGCCUCUGAUUGCGCUCGCAUGAUCAGACAAACAGAUUCCGCAGCUCAACGAAUCCUCACCGAACAUUGAGACUGAGACUAAUUGGUUCCGCUGCGAUUGAUU